GGAAGGGAUGCUUGAUAUGAUUUCAGUCUUCUUGAAUUUGUUGAGACCUGUGUUGUGGCCUAACAAGUGAUCU